rnacentral:lncRNA from 1 species
CCAAACCUUUUAAAUACUAGCAGAUUUUUCCCUAACUUUACAUUUGUUGCAGCCAUCACCCAAACAUUUUCAAACGUUGUAUCUGAGGACCUUUUUGGAUGGAAUCUGUCCAAAUAUUCGUCAGUUGACCUAAAAAAAUGAUUUUGACCCGAAAAAUUAAUUUUGAUCACAUUUUACUCAAUUUUAAAAGGGCAAAAUAAUAAUUUAAUAUUUUUCUCUCUCCCCUUUCUUUCUCUCUCC